GACGAACGCUGGCGGCGUGCUUAACACAUGCAAGUCGAACGGUGAAGCCCUUCGGGGUGGAUCAGUGGCGAACGGGUGAGUAACACGUGGGAAAUCUGCCCUGCACUCUGGGACAAGCCUUGGAAACGAGGUCUAAUACCGGAUAUGACCUGCUCCUGCAUGGGGGUGGGUGGAAAGCUCCGGCGGUGCAGGAUGAUCCCGCGGCCUAUCAGCUUGUUGGUGGGGUAACGGCCCACCAAGGCGACGACGGGUAGCCGGCCUGAGAGGGCGACCGGCCACACUGGGCCUGAGACACGGCCCAGACUCCUACGGGAGGCAGCAGUGGGGAAUAUUGCACAAUGGGCGAAAGCCUGAUGCAGCGACGCCGCGUGAGGGAUGACGGCCUUCGGGUUGUAAACCUCUUUCAGCAGGGAAGAAGCGCAAGUGACGGUACCUGCAGAAGAAGCACCGGCUAACUACGUGCCAGCAGCCGCCGUAAAAU
rnacentral:rRNA from 1 species